rnacentral:rRNA from 1 species
CCUACGGGUGGCAGCAGUGAGGAAUAUUGGUCAAUGGACGGAAGUCUGAACCAGCCAUGCCGCGUGCAGGAAGACGGCUCUAUGAGUUGUAAACUGCUUUUGUACAAGGGUAAACCUGAAUACGUGUAUUCCGCUGAAAGUACUUUACGAAUAAGGAUCGGCUAACUCCGUGCAAGCAGCCGCGGUAAUACGGAGGAUCCAAGCGUUAUCCGGAUUUAUUGGGUUUAAAGGGUGCGUAGGCGGAUUGAUAAGUUAGAGGUGAAAUGGCCGAGCUUAACUCGGGAACUGCCUCUAAUACUGUUGAUCUAGAGAGUAGAUGCGGUAGGCGGAAUGUAUGGUGUAGCGGUGAAAUGCUUAGAGAUCAUACAGAACACCGAUUGCGAAGGCAGCUUACCAAGCUAUAUCUGACGUUGAGGCACGAAAGCGUGGGGAGCAAACAGGAUUAGAUACCCGAGUAGUC